UCAGUGCCCUGCCAGGGAGGCUUUACUACCUGUCACCUGAUGUGAGGAUGACCACUAUGACUUGAUGGCGGAGAGAGGCUCAUAUAGGGUCUGAGAGGACAAUCUGCCCUUCACGGCAGAAACCCCAUCUGUGUUUCCAGAGACUGACUUCUAAGACCCCUCCUGGUCAGAGAGCUGUGUCACAUGCUGUGUGGUGCUGAUGCAGUGCCUACCAAAUCCAUCCAGCCCUCUGCUUUAUCUGAGCUCUGGACCCUCCCUCAAUUCCCACUGCCCCAGCCCCUAUCUUUUGGACUGUUUUGAAGUUAAUUCUAGGGAUCAUAUUGUCUCUUCUGUGCAUCUUAGAAUGUUUAUCUCUGAAAAAGGGCUGUUUGCCUUCAUAAAAACAUAAACAUGAUAUCCAUUACCACAAUUUUUGUAAAAAUAUUUGUGAGAGCAUUAUCACAAUUAAACAAUUAACAGCUUUUACUUUCUAACCUCUAUGAAGUGUCCAAAUCUUCCUGACGGACUAAUAAAUUUCUUUUAUGAUUGACUUGUUCAGAUCUCUGUCCAAAGUACUUCCUGGCACUUUCAAGGGGCGUGUGGGGUUCUCAGAGGUAAGUACAGCUGGAAAUUCAGGGCUUUAACCAAAUGCAACCUUAGUGAGCCUCACAUUCUACCUGAAAAUGGGGCUAAUUUUGGAUGCCUCUCAGGGCUCUCAGGCAAGUUGGAAACAGGUACAUACAUAUCCCCCAGCCCCAUAUCAAACAAACAAGCAAAAAGACGCAACAGCCAACAGCUGUUACUUGAAUUAUUCGUUGUCCCCCCCCCCCCCCCGGAAAUCUCUAAAAGAGCUGGACUGAAUAUACAAGACAGAGCUGGCUAUCGUCCACAAAACAAAAGGCACCUGGCAGGCCAGGGCCCCUGAGUGAUUUAGAUACAGCGUAUGCUGCAUCUCAACCGGGACAGCCUGCAGCCCAGGGGGCUAUGUCCAGGGACCCCCACAGGGCAUUGGUCCACUAGAUGGCACUCUCUGCUGUGUGUCCAGGGCAGACCACUCCCCAAGGUACUCAAGCCACAGCCGAAAUAUCCCAGGUAAUUCUAAAGCAUCAUCUCCACAUGUCGUGCAAAACGCAGUGGUUUUUCUCCCCACAUCCAUCCCAGCCCGGCAGCAGAAACACAGGGAGCGAUCAUUUCAUGACAAUUUGCUGAGACCAAACACUAGAUAGCCCACUCCCCCUCUUUUAAUUCUCCGUCCCUGCUACAUCUGAUUGCUCAUUAUUUUACAGAUGAGAGGAUGAUGAGGGGACCAGAAUUUGCCCAGGAUCGGCUAGUAAGCAGGACCCGGGGCUCCAACCCAGGGCUGAUCAUUCUCAGACGAUUUUGCCCUGUCCUCAGCAUCUAGACCUAUUGCCUGGUGCAGAAUGGGAGGGAGGAUGUCUGGUGCCUAGUUGCAUCCACACCGAGGAAUGUCCGCGUGUCCACAGCAGUCUGCACGGUACCCGCAUGGAGGCCCUAAUGUGAAUGGAGACUAGCCUGCUGGGUGAGACCUUGGCAGUGACCACUGUGGGCAAUGAGCCAUGGGCCAACAAUUCUAUGUGAGCCUGUCUCUAACAUUGAAGAUUUAUAUAUCUUAAUGGGCAAGAACCAAAAAGAUUCCAUGAUGUACCGCUGAUGGUGCCUGUCUGACCCUGAGACACUGUGGGCCAGGAAUCAAGGGACUCAUUUUGUGCUUGAUUUCACCAAGUGGAUAUGCCCCCUCUAACUGAAUCAUCCUGGAAUGCCAAAGGUCUAGGUUUUUACCUCUGUGGGUAAGGAAAGAAGAGAUUUAUGUGAGUAAUAGCUUGAAUUUUAUGUUCUUGGGUUCGGAGGUUGGCUUAUGGGUGUUGCUUGCAUUUUUCCAAAGUAAUAAAUGGAUAUAAUUCAUAAGUAAAACCAACAAAGGCCAGUGGUAUGCAUUGAUGGGAAUGUGCUCAGGCUGGGGUUUUUUAAUUAAUAUGAUUUAGCACCAGUAAAAUCCAAUAAAAGCAGAUGAGUGGCAUUUCAUUCAUUUUCAGGGUUGCUUAAUAUUCUAUUUUUUUUCUUUUUUGCUAUGAUUCAUUUACGUACUUUUUUACUGAUAACACUUAGGCUAUUAAUAUUUUGAGGAGAGAGGGUACUAGACAAUGAACAAAAUUAUCUGUUUAUUCUAAUUGUGUAUUCAUGAUACCAUCUUUAUUCAUGAUACCAUCUUUAAGACCAAAAGUGGGCAGACAUGGUUGACCCAUGUUAAAUACAGAGAUUAAAGGAAAUAAGAACACUCAUUGGCUGAAAUGUGGAAAAAGUAUACACAUAUUAGGAAAAAUCAACCAGAUAUAUUAAUUAUGUGUGGAAUGGAUACUUGACAGUGCGAUAUAUUAUUCAGUGAUGCUGCUCUUGGAACUUUUGAUUUAUUAAUUUAGCAUAUAUGUAUAUAUAUAUAUAUAUAUACACACACACACAUAUACAUACACACACACACACACACACACACACACACACACACACACACACACAUAUAUAUAUGAGCACAUCCAUGAAUAAAGCCAUGAGGACAGGGAGAAAAAAUAUCAAUAGAUAUAUAGAACAGUGAACUUUAUGAGAUGUGUGAAUCAAAGAGUUCUGACUAAAUUACAACUCAAAGAAAUGUCCGAAAAAGAAAAUCUCCCUCAUUUUUGCAGUGAGGUGUACCUCUUGCACUAGUUGGCCACAGUCAAUGACCUUGGCAUUCACUCCUCCCUUCUGUGAAUUGUAUUAUAAUGGGGUGGGUACAAGAAUGAAUAAAGAUGGCCAAUUUUGCAAAAAAAAAAAAAAAGAAAACAAAAGAAAAGAAACAAAUAUUAUUUAUUGUUGUAACUUUCUGAUACAACGAGCCUCAGAAAUACACAUAGAUUAAGUCUUUUUGAAUAUUUCCCUGAAGGACACGUCCUGAGUCAUGAACCAUGGUAUUGAUAUUUGGAUUUUGUUGGAGAGCUGGCCAUUGGUUUUAUUUAGACAAGAAAUAAAUUAUGAGUAUGAAAAUGAUUGUUUGAAUAAUUGUCUAACUGAGAGAAGGCUAAACGUGGAACAGUUCUGUGCACAUGGUAAUUACUGAUCUAAUUCUGUCCACCAAAAGCUAAUCUCUUACAAAGGACCUUGUCCAUUGUAUCUGUGAUCACCGUGUCUAUGGAUACAGCUCAUGCUUUGAUCCAGUGUCUCAAAUGAAUGAAGGAAUGAGCUCACACCUCAGUUGAUUACUUGAAGGAUGUAGACCUGGGCGCAGUUACGAGCAAGUUUUGUGAAACAAAACUAUGAAUUAAAAUUUUUAGUUUUAUUAUUGUUUUGGGGUGGGUGUGUAUAUGCCACGGUGCAGGUUUGGAGGUCUGAGGAUAGCUAUUUGGAAGUUGGUUCCCUUUCAUGGUGGUAUGUGGUAAUAGAAUUCAGGUCUUGUGGCUUUCUCAGUAAGUGCCUCUACCCACUAUUCAUCUUGCCAGCCCAGAGAUCUGAUUAAUUUAGACUCAUUAAUGAUUAAUAAGAGCCCUCCAUCUUUAACUGACCUAAGUUGGAUUGAAUUGUAUUAACUGCAAAUUUUUGUUCAUUUCUGUGGUUGGCACUAUAGUACAUUCUCUUAUUUUAUUUAUAUGUUGGCCAUUUAUGCCUUUGACAUAAGUUAACAAUAAACUGCCUAUGCCAAGGAUAUGAAAUUUAGAAGUACAAUAGUCCCUAAGCCCCUUAACCACGCAGGUGGGAACCAGCAUCUCCGACUUUACUGAACAAUUACAUCAACUGUAGUAUUCUCACUCUGUGAAGUACAACACACUCUAUGAAGAAUGGAAAGGGUUUUUGCUCUGUGAAGUGCAACACACACUCUACAAAGAAUGGAACCCACAGGCUUAAAUCUUUUAAUAGACGGAUUCAUAAGGGAUUGGGUGACUAAUCCAAACUUGGUUCCUAUUACAUUCUCAUUAUUGACUCCCAAAUAACUCUACUUCUUAUGUACUGACUUAUGUACUAUUUAAUUUUUAAUACAACAGAAACUAAAAUUCACCACCCAACACAAGAGAAAUAAAUGCAACCAUUAAGAAUGUCUGUGUGCUGCUACCCACGGACACCUUAACCUCAUUUGUCCUUUUCAGGGGACCUCAUAGUGCAUUGCCAAGGGUCUACCCUGAAACAUUGAUCCAAAAGGCCCCCUCCUCACACAUUAGCUGACUGAUUCAUCAUCUUUAUUCUAUAGGUAACAGGGUUAUUUCUGAAUUACAUCAUGUGAACAGAGCUGCUUUUCUAUGAAUAAAAUAAAAGAAUGCUUAUAGGACCAGCAGAGAGAAUUGACCAGAGUUUGUGGUAAAUAUGAUUCAGCACAACCUAAGUCUGUUAAUCCUGGAGGUCUUUUAUUAAUUCUCAGAAUGUUUCAAUCUUAAGAUUUGUUUUGUGUCAUUACCCAUUCAAUCAAUGAUAAAUGUCUGGGCCAAUAAUUCAUUGAGGUGGGAGUGUGCCGAAUGAGGGAAGAAGGCUAUGCUAAUGUCCUCGCCAUGACUGGAGCACGGUUCAUGGUUGUAUAGGUUUACCUCCCCUAAUGUGAAACAUCAGAGAGUCUUUUUAUUUCUGAAACUUUCUGAGUAUUGACUUUUGGUACAUGUGGAAGAUUCCACAUUUGUCCUCAUCAUGGUUACAGUCAAAAUGCAGGUGCACUGAAAUAUUGUAAAAACUUCCUCUGGUCACAUGUAUAAGUUGACUAGGGGACAAAUGAACUUUAUUUAUUUUGGGGUAAUAUUUUUAAGAUAUUUCAUUGUGUGUGUGGACAUAUUCCAAAAGUUGAAGAAAACAAAAAAAGUUGAAAUAUUCCAAAGUUGAAACACUUAUGGUAUCAAGCAAGUCAGAAACAGCAUGCUCUGUCAUUGCCAUUGAGAUCUCUAGCUGUGGAGUACCUCACCCAGUGACUUCAUGGCUCAAAGCAUGAAACCUAUUAUUUCUCACAGUUUCCAUGAGGUCAGGCUUUCUGUGUGGAGUCUUACCAAUUUAUAGUGAGGUGUCAGACAAAGUAGUUGCUUGGCUGAGUGUGUGUGUGUGUGUGUGUGUGUGUGUGUGUGUGUGUGUGUGUGUGAUCUGCUUGCAGGACUUAUGUCCAUGGCUGGCUGCUGAUGGGGACCACGCUUUCUCUCUACAUGAAGAUUUUCUCUAUUGGCGUCCUUAGAACAUGACAGCUAAUUUCCCAAGAGCAAUCAGUACAGGACAGAAUUAGGUACAUCCUUACUGUAUCAUAUAACUUAUCUCCUUAAGGCACAAACCACCACUUCCAUAGUGUUCUACUGGUCACAUAGACAGCCAUGAUCCAAGAUGUGAACAGUAACACAAGACUGUGUGCCACAAGGUGUGGACUCUACUGGCCACCAUCUUGGCUACAUUAACUGUCCUUAAAAUUCAGACAAAUUUAAUAAAGAAGAGCAAGGAAAGUUCACAAGUGCGUUUGACAUGAAGUAAGGGAGCUGAGUUAUCACAUGUCUUCAUAACUGCCCUAAGAGUGUCUGAGUCCUACAGAAAUCAAGCUAUCAGGUGUGUCUCAGCACAAUGUCAGGAGCUUCUUUUCAGCCUCACAUUUCAUGUUCAUUGAUGUCAUUAGUAGCAAUGACUACUAAAUGACUAACUAAAUAAGGACAACCAAGCGCUGACCGAUGAUGAGAAUUCUGGGGUGUCUGAAUCAACGAUUUUGAUUAACCCUGAAACUCUGAGGUCGAUCAUAAGAGACUUCAUGAGAGGCUGUUGAGAUGGUUCAGUGGGUUAAGGCUCUUGUUGCCAAGCCCGGGCACCUGAGUUCAAUCCCCUGGACCCACAUGGUGGAAGGAGAGAACUGUUCCCGAGGUUGUCUUCCAAUCUCCCCAUGUGUGCUAUGGCAUGUGCAUACACACACGGACUAAGAUACACACACACACACACACACACACACACACACACACACACACACACACACACAAAGACAUACACACAAAGACACAUGACAAAGACACAUACACACAUACAGAAAAGACACACACAUAAAGACACACAAACACAUAGACAAGGACACACACACAGACAAAGACAACCACAGACAAAGACACACAAACACAAAAAGACACAAAGACACACCUACAGAUAAAGACACACACAGACACAGACACACACACAAAGACUCACACACUCAAAGAUACACAUACAGAGACACACACAAAGACACACGCACAAAGACACACACACAGAGACACAACCACAGACAAAGACACACACAAACAUACACACAAAGACACACACACACAAACAAGGACACACAUGACAAAGAGACACACACAUAGACAAAGACACACAUGCACAGACACAUAGACACACACAUACAACAGACAAGGACAAACACACACAGAGAAAGACAUACACACAGACACACAAAGACACAUACAGUCACACACACAAACAAAGACACACAGACAAAGACACAUACACAGUCAAAGACACACAAACACAUAGAGAAAGACACAACCACAAAGACACACACACACAUAGACAAAGACACACACACAAAGACACACACUCAGACAAAGGCCCACACAGACACACACACACACAAAGACACAUACACACAAAAAGACACACACAAAUACAUAGAGAAAGGCACAUACACAAAGACAAACACACACAAAGACACACACAGACAAAGACACAACCACAGACAAAGACACACACACAAACUUACAUAUAAACACACACACACAAACACAAGGACACACAUGACACACAUAGACAAAGACACACAUGCACAGACACAUAGACACACAUAUACACAGACAAGGACAAACACACACAUACACACACACCAAACAAAUAUGUAUAAAGAAUAGACACUUAUUUAGUAAAUGUUAUUAGAAGUUUGGAAAAUUUUAAAUUUGUUCUUUAGCUAUUUAGUUUCAUAAGACUUUGUUGUUUCACUGUAAGUAAAUUAUAGUACAACUAGGCAAAUAUUUAAAUGCAUAAAUGUUCAAAUGAACAAGGACAAAAGACAUCUGUUUGUGGCCUCCUUAUGAGAUUGCAAAAUUUAUGUACUAUUGUGAAUACAUUUGAACCAGUCAAUUCCAACGUAAAUUUAUUAAAUCUGAUUGAUAGCCCUUCACACAGGAACACUGAAAUAAGAAACCGAUGGCAUUGUUCUCCAUCAUUAAUGAGAUGGUGAAUGCUGAAUUCACACUUGUUUAUUGGACUGUAGUUAAAAUAGCAGAACGUUCAGGAAAUAGGAACCAGUGUUGAGCUAAUGAGCACAGGAUUGCUAAGGUUCAUGAAGGUUAACCAUCCCUGUGACUUUGACAUUCACUGUGGAAAGAGGAAGCCAUAGGUUUUUAUGUUAACAAUAUCGUGCUUGUUAUCGCUGGGACUUAUUAUCUGUUGAUUUUGUUGUUGUUUGUGAGCGAGCAAAUGAUUGUCUAAAUGAAUGAAAAAAGUGUUCAAACCUAGGCCAGUGAUCUUGAAGCAUGUCAGGAGGAAUUUUAUUAAACUCCAAAGUCCCAAGGACCAUUGGGAAGAUAAAACAACUACUAUUUUUAUGGGAAAAGAAUGUAAGAAGAAUCAGAUUUUUUUUGCAUCUAUUAAGAUUCUUUAGUUCAAGCCGGAUGGUAGUGGCUCAUGCCUUUAAUCCCAGCACAAUGGGAGGCAGAGGCAGGUGAAUCUCUGUGAGUUCGAGUCCAGCCUGGUCUACAAAGUAAGUUCUAGGACAGUCAGAGCUACACAGAGAAACCCAAUCUCUUAACAUCCCCCCCAAAGAUCCUUUAGUUCAAUUUAUAUUUUUAUAAGUAAAUCAAUAUAUGAGUAAAGGAAUAAAAAAUGUAAGUGAAUGAAAAAAGUAAAGGAGAGCCAUGGAUGGAUCAAUUACAGGAGUAUGUGAUGAAAUGAGAAAGAGAAAUAGGAUUAAUUCAAUUUGGAAGUGCUAAAGUCCACUUCUGGGUGAGGGGCAUAAUAAGAAGUCCCUAGGAAGGAUUGGGUGAUGUUGGUUGCCAGCCAGUUGUUUCUUUCCCACACCUUUUUCCCCUUAUUAUUUUAUUUUUCAGAUUAGUUCAUCAGUGUAAAAAAUUGUUAAAUGUCCACAUAAUUGCCAGAUGAUCAGAGACCAAUGAUAAGAAUGUUAAAACAAAACCGUCAUUUUUAUUGAUUUUCUUUCUUUCUUUCUUUUUUUUUUGAAGGAAAGGGUCUAUUUGGCUUAUAAUUCCAGGCUGCCAAAACGGAGAAAGAACCAAGGCUACCAUUACUGAGGGCAGUGGCUAUAGGCAGAUCAACAUAUAUUUUUUAUAGGCCAGGGCUGUUAUUUUGCAGAUUUUUAUGUCCUCAAAACGAUGGGAUGAUUUUAGGCCUCAAUUUACCUUUUUUUUUUGGUUUUUCGAGACCGGGUUUCUCUGUGUAGCUUUGCGCCUUUCCUGGGACUCACUUGGUAGCCCAGGCUGGCCUCGAACUCACAGAGAUCCGCCUGGCUCUGCCUCCCGAGUGCUGGGAUUAAAGGCGUGCGCCACCACCGCCCAGCUCAAUUUACCUUUUUAAUGUCAGCAUGGUGCUAAUUAGGAAUAAGUAUUAUCACGUGAGAACUGUGACCCAAACUUUUUCUCCCCACUGGGUCAGAGAUUUUAUCAUGUUCUAGUCAUGAUGACCACCUCUGUGCAUCCAAACUCAGAGCAUGAAGCCCCAGGUAAGCAAACAAUCCCAGUACAUUAAAUUUUUAAAUAAGAUCUGAAAUUGAGGAGUGCCAAUCAUGGGCUUGCAAUUGAAAUAUAUCAUGAACAACAACAACAAAAUUAUGCCUAAUUCAAUUCAACUCAACUAAGGACCAUUCCUAAAGAGAUGGUAGACAUUCCACACAUUUUACUGCCCUAUAAGGCUAUGGUUGCUUCAUAGAGCCGUUCCCUAGCAAACAGUUUACUGUGAACUCCUCAUGGCAGAAGUACAGUAGAGGAUAGCAGAUGUCAGUCCCGUCAUGUGUGUGCCAUUAUGUAGGUUUCCACCAGCUUUGAGAGACAGACGCCCAUCAUGAGAUAGGGCUUGAAAAGAAACCAGUCUGCUGGUUAAUCCACAUGUUCCAACUAGAUGCUCUCAGAGAUAAACAAUAUAGGCUAUUUUCUCUACAAAAACAAAACAAACAACAACAACAACAAAAAAAAAAAAACUACUGGUUACUCAGAAAUCCAUGAACGAUCACAUUAACUCAAGAAAGUGUUACUGGAGAGUAGGAUGCCAUGCCUGCAUCUAUGAUGCCUGCUGGUAGAGGCAUGUGAAGCAGCAGCUCGGUGAAAGCCUGAGGGUAACUCUGAGGUCCAUUACUACGUGAGAGAUAGACAAGGUUUUGUGUUGAAAUUGUCUGUGAGCAGAAGUUGGAAAAAUUCUGUCAACUUGCCCCUCUGGAUUUUGUUAUUCAAUGAUAUGAAGCAUGUUAUUUGAAGAGAAUUGCUAUAUAAGUAAGAAGUAGAUACAUAAUAAAAGACAUGGUACAUAGGAAAGGCACACCUAUUUGUCCAACAAGUAAUUUAGUAAGCCAAGGAUAAUUAAUGCUAUUGCUUGCUAAAAAGCAAGAGCACUUGUUAAUUGGAAACAAAUCAGGAGGGAUCUGUAACCCUCUUUCAUAUUGAGCAUGUUAGUAGCUGUAGUUAAGAGAGUUGCUUGGGUGGGUACUGUUCAUUAAGAAAAGGGAAAGUACAUCAGCUAACAAUUUGUUCAAUACCCCCCUGAUUAUAAAUGUUUCUAAUUGUUGUAGAAUUUAUUCUCAGGCAAGAUAGUGGACUUACAUGUUUACCAUAUUUAAAAUCCCAAGUUUGAUAUUAAAUCUAAAGUUUAUUAUUAUGUAGUUCUGCUUGACCUGUUAAAUUCUAAGGCUAUUCUAAUUCUUCCUUUCCCUCCUGUGGUGAAUGUAGGACCCCUGAUUUAAUUAUUUAAUAUGGAAUCAUUGUCCUGAGUAAGGAGCCUAGUUGAGAAUAAAGAAUGAGUGCGGGUGCUAUGGCUUCAUGAUUACCUUCUGGGAAGACCUUGCCUGUUUACCUCUGCAAAAGGAGGGAAGACACAAUUGCGCAUCCCUCAGAAGCAGUGGCUCGGUCUGCUUUAAACAACGGGCCACAUUAAUAAUCUCUACACACACUCUCGGUGUUUACCUCAAGACCCAAAACCUGUGAUGAUGAUUGAUACCUUGUUUCCUGGCUGGGAGGUCCGUGGUUGCCCUGUCCCCAUGUGUAAGGAUCAAGGGAACUGAUGCGAGUUACCAUUCCAUUUGGGUCACGAUGUCUACGGCUAGUCAAGGGUCUUUGGAGCACAGUGAUCAUUGCUCAUCCCUCAGAAGGAAUGGCUUCAGUCUGCUUUAAACACUGGGCCAUACUCAUAAUCUCUGCACUUAAUCUCUGUGUUUAUAUGAAGACCCAAAUCCUGUGUGAGUAAUAUUCAAAUUUAUUUUCUUGUUUUGUUCAAUGAUGCUCUAUGUUAUUAUAGAGUAUAGCAUGUAUCUUAGCAAGGGAUUUGGUUAUUCCAAAGAACAAAAUAUAAUCACAGGGACAUUUAUUGUUUUGAAUUAAUGUGUUAAACGACAAACAUACACACAUUACUAGAGAAGAGGAAGGCUAAUAUGGACCAAUGAUGACCAAAUCUGGGUUGGCAAUAUAAGUCACAGACGAUGACUACAAUUCUGGUGUCUGAGGUUCACAUCACCACACAUCCUAUGUGCCCUUCUUAGCCAGGAGAUACAUGUUAGGCAUGUGGAGCACAUACUGUCCAUUAGAAUCAGGCACUUUCAUGCAUUUUCUUAGUAGAUCAAUGAAACAUGAUAUAAAUAUUCACACAAAUAUAAAUGAUAAUAAAAAUUUCCAACAUUGAUCAAGUAGUAAGUAAACAUUUUGCCACUAAUGAUACUAUUACUAAUGCAGAAAUUAUGAAAAUCUGUUAAGAAAUAAUUGGCAUAAAGAUGUAUAUAAACUUUAUCCAAGUUCACAAAUGAAGUAUACUUAAUGGAUAUAACUCCAGUGGGGUUCAAGAUCUUAAUUUUAAAUCUCACUUGAUCUCUUAAGACACCAUCAUAACAACAAGAAUCCUAAAUAACAAAUAUUGAAAGGAGAAAUGUAGAAAUAAUUUGUUAGACCCAGGCAGUGGUGGUGCAAGCCUUUAAUCCCAGCACUUGGGAGGCAGAGCCAGGCAGAUCUCUGUGAGUUGAAGGCCACCCUGGUCUACAGAGUGAGAUCCAGGACAGGCACCAAAACAACACAGAGAAACCCUGUCUCAGGAAAGGAAACAAAAAAGGAAAAAAAAAUAAAUAAUUUGUAAAAUAUCAAUCUUUUUAUUAUCUUUCUUCCUUUGAACUUCCUGAAUGGAUGAUGACUGACACAUUGCUUCCUGGCUGAGAGGGCCACGGUUCCCCUGGCCACAUGUAUAAGGGAACUGAUCUGAGUUGCCUUUCCAACUGGAUGAUGAUGUCUAUGGCUAACCUAGGGUCUUGGGAGCAGAGUGACCAUUGCUCAUCCCUCAGAAGGAAUGGCUUCAGUCUGCUUUAAACACUGGGCCACACUCAUAAUCGCUACACUUAAUCUCAGUGUAUAUAUGAAGACCCAAAUCCUGUGUGAGUAAUAUUCAAAUUUAUUUUUUUGUUUUGUUCAAUGAUGCUCUAUGUUAUUAUAGAGUAUAGCAUGUAUCUUAGCAAGGGAUUUGGUUAUUCCAAAGAGCAAAAUAUAAUCACAGGGACAUUUAUUGUUUUGAAUUAAUGUGUUAAACAACAAACAUACACACAUUACUAGCGAAGAGGAAGGCUAAUACGGACCAAUGAUGACCAAAUCUGGGUUGGCAAUAUAAGUCACAGACGAUGACUACAAUUCUGGUGUCUGAGGUCACAUCACCACACAUCCUAUGUGCCCUUCUUAGCCAGGAGAUACAUGUUAGGCAUGUGGAGCACAUACUGUCCAUUAGAAUCAGGCACUUUCAUGCAUUUUCUUAGUAGAUCAAUAAAACAUGAUAUAAAUAUUCACACAAAUAUAAAUGAUAAUAAAAUUUUCCAGUAUUGAUCAAGUAGUAAGUAAAUAUUUUGCCACUAAUGAUACUACUAGUAAUGUAGAAAUUAUGGAAAUCUUUUAGAAAUAACUGUCGUGAAGAUAUAUAUAUAUAUAUAUAUAUAUAUAUAUAUAUAUAUAUAUACAUAUAUAUAUAUAAUGUAAACUUUAUCCAAAUUCACAAAUAAAGUAUACUUAAUGGAUAUAACCCCAGUGGGGUUCAAGAUCUUAAUUUUCAAUGUCACUUAUCUCUUAAGGCACUAUCAUAACAAUGAGAAUCCUAAAUAACAAAUAUUGAAAGGAGAAAUGUAGAAAUAAUUUGUUAGAGCCGGGCCAUGGUGGUGCAAGCCUUUAAUCCUAGCACUUGGGAGGCAGAGCUAGGUGGAUCUCUGUGACUUGAAGGCCACCCUGGUCUACAGAGUGAGAUCCAGGACAGGCACCAAAACAACACAGAGAAACCCUGUCUCAGGAAAGGAAACAAAAAAGGAAAAAAAAAGAAAUAAUUUGUAAAAUAUCAAUCUUUUUAUUAUCUUUCUUCCUUUGAACUUCCUGAAUGGAUGAUGACUGACACAUUGCUUCCUGGCUGAGAGGGCCAUGGUUCCCCUGGCCACAUGUAUAAGGGAACUGAUUGCUCAUCCCUCAGAAGGAAUGGCUUCAGUCUGCUUUAAACACUGGGCCACAUUCAUAAUCUCUACACUUCCUCUUGGUGUGUAGUGAAGCCCCAAAUCCGGAUGAUGAUUGGCACCGUGUUUCCUGGCUGGGAGGUCCGUGGUUGCCCUGUCCCCAUGUGUAAGGAUCAAGGGAACUGAUAACCUUCAUCCAGUACUAAUGGAAGCAGAUGCAGAGAUCCACAGCUAAGCACUUUGUGGAGCUCCCGGAGUCCAGUUGAAGCAAAGGAGGAGAGAUUAUAUGAGCAAAGGGGACAAGAUCAUGAUGGGGAACCCCACAGAGACCUGAGCUAAUGGGAGCUCACUGACUCUGGACUGACAACUGGGGAACCUGCAUGGGACCGAACUAGGCCCUCGGAAUGUGGGUGACAGUUGUGUGACUUGGACAAUUUAUGGGGCCACUGGCAGUGGCACCAGGAUUUAUCCUUCGUGCAUGAACUGGCUUUUUGGAGCCCAUUCCCCGUGGAGGGAUGCCUUGCUCAGCCUUGAUGCAGCAGAGAGGGGCUUGGUCCUGCCUCACCUUGAUAUGGUGGACUUCCUUGACUCCCCGUGGGAGGCCUUACCCUCCCUGAGGACUGGAUAGGAGGCUGGGUGGAGGAGGAAAGAUGGAGGGUGGGUGGGAGCAGCGGGCGUGGGGGGUGGUGGGUGGGGUGGGGGUGGGAAAGGGAACUGUGGUUGGAAUCUAAUGUGAAAAAAGAACUCUUAAAUAAACAAAAAUUAAAAUCAAAAGAUAAAAUGGUGGUCAAAAUUCUUGUGAAGGUUAGAACCGGGGCUCCUGUGUACUUUCUCAAGAAGAAUGUAUCAACAUUUUAUAUUCGUAGAUGAGUGAGAUAAGAAACAAACAACACAGAGGUCAUUGUAGAGAACAUGGUUUUGUGAUUUUGUGUAUAAUCCCUUCCUCUUUUCAUCUCUCUGGAUAUUCCUGAGUUGCCCUUCCAUGUGGAUCACGACGUCUGCGGCGAGCCUAGGGUCUUGGGAGCACAGUGACCAAUGCUCGUCCCACUGAAGGAAUGGCUUCAGUCUGCUUUAAACACUGGGCCACACCCAUAAUCUCUACACUUAAUCUCAGUGCUUACGUGAAGUCCAAAUCCUGUGUGAGUAAUAUUCAAAAUUAUUGUCUUGUUUUGCUCUAUGUUAUUGUAGUUUAGAGCAGAGGUCAGGUAUUCUGGAAAAAAAAAAAACAAAAUGAAAUCAGAGGCACUUUUAUUGUUAAUGAAUUACUGCGUUAAAUAACAAACAUGCACACACAUAUGACUAGAGAAGUGGUAGGCUAUCACGGACCAAUGAUGACAAUUCCCCUGCGGCGCUAUAAGUCAUGGACGAUGACUACAAUUAUGGGUGUCUGAGGUUCUUUCUCAUCAUAACACAUCUCAUUUGCUCCUGUUAGCCUGGAAAAACCAUUAGGCUUGUGGAGCACACACUCUUCAUUAGAAGCAUGCACUUUCGUGAAUUUUCUUAGUGGAUCAAUGACAUGCUGUAAAUAUUCACACAAAUACAAAUGUAAAUAAAUAUGGUGGCAUUGAUCAAUGAGUAGAUAAAUGUUUGACUACAAAUGCUACUACUUACUACUGCUUGUAGAUACUCUCGAAAUCUCUUAAAAGUUAACUGGCUUAAAGAUGUAUAUAAACUUGAUCCAAGUUCACCUAGGAAGUAUAAUUAAUGGACGAAGACCCAGUGAGGGUCAAGACCUUAAUCUUAUAGCUCACUUGAUUCCUUAAGACACUAUCAUAACAAUGUGACUCCUAAAUAACAAAUAGUGAAAGGAGAAAUGUAGAAAUCGUUUGAAAACUAUCAAUCUUUUUAUUAUCUUCUCUGCUGUGUAAUCCCUGGAUGGAUGAUGAUUGCCACCUUGUUUCCUGGCUGGGAGGUCCACGGUUGCCCAGUCCUGAUGUGUAAGGAUCAAGGGAACUGAUCCUAGGGUCUUUGGAGCACAGUGACCAGUGCUCAUCCCUCAGAAGGAAUGGCGUCAGCCUGCUUUAAACCCUGGGCCACACCCAGAAUCGCUACACUUCCUCUCGGUGUUUACAUGGAGACCCAAAGCUAUGAUGAUGAUUGGCACCGUGUUUCCCGGCUGGGAGGUCCGUGGUUGCCCUGUCCCCAUGUGUAAGGAUCAAGGGAACUGAUUUGCCCUUCCAUGUGGAUCACGACGUCUGCGGCGAGCCUAGGGUCUUGGGAGCACAGUGACCAAUGCUCGUCCCACUGAAGGAAUGGCUUCAGUCUGCUUUAAACACUGGGCCACACCCAUAAUCUCUACACUUAAUCUCAGUGCUUACGUGAAGUCCAAAUCCUGUGUGAGUAAUAUUCAAAAUUAUUGUCUUGUUUUGCUCUAUGUUAUUGUAGUUUAGAGCAGAGGUCAGGUAUUCUGGAAAAAACAAAAUGAAAUCAGAGGCACUUUUAUUGUUAAUGAAUUACUGCGUUAAAUAACAAACAUGCACACACAUAUGACUAGAGAAGUGGUAGGCUAUCACGGACCAAUGAUGACAAUUCCCCUGCGGCGCUAUAAGUCAUGGACGAUGACUACAAUUAUGGGUGUCUGAGGUUCUUUCUCAUCAUAACACAUCUCAUUUGCUCCUGUUAGCCUGGAAAAACCAUUAGGCUUGUGGAGCACACACUCUUCAUUAGAAGCAUGCACUUUCGUGAAUUUUCUUAGUGGAUCAAUGACAUGCUGUAAAUAUUCACACAAAUACAAAUGUAAAUAAAUAUGGUGGCAUUGAUCAAUGAGUAGAUAAAUGUUUGACUACAAAUGCUACUACUUACUACUGCUUGUAGAUACUCUCGAAAUCUCUUAAAAGUUAACUGGCUUAAAGAUGUAUAUAAACUUGAUCCAAGUUCACCUAGGAAGUAUAAUUAAUGGACGAAGACCCAGUGAGGGUCAAGACCUUAAUCUUAUAGCUCACUUGAUUCCUUAAGACACUAUCAUAACAAUGUGACUCCUAAAUAACAAAUAGUGAAAGGAGAAAUGUAGAAAUCGUUUGAAAACUAUCAAUCUUUUUAUUAUCUUCUCUGCUGUGUAAUCCCUGGAUGGAUGAUGAUUGCCACCUUGUUUCCUGGCUGGGAGGUCCACGGUUGCCCAGUCCUGAUGUGUAAGGAUCAAGGGAACUGAUCCUAGGGUCUUUGGAGCACAGUGACCAGUGCUCAUCCCUCAGAAGGAAUGGCGUCAGUCUGCUUUAAACCCUGGGCCACACCCAGAAUCGCUACACUUCCUCUCGGUGUUUACAUGGAGACCCAAAGCUAUGAUGAUGAUUGGCACCGUGUUUCCUGGCUGGGAGGUCCGUGGUUGCCCUGUCCCCAUGUGUAAGCAUCAAGGGAACUGAUAACCUUCAUCCAGUACUAAUGGAAGCAGAUGCAGAGAUCCACAGCUAAGCACUUUGUGGAGCUCCCGGAGUCCAGUUGAAGCAAAGGAGGAGAGAUUAUAUGAGCAAAGGGGACAAGAUCAUGAUGGGGAACCCCACAGAGACCUGAGCUAAUGGGAGCUCACUGACUCUGGACUGACAACUGGGGAACCUGCAUGGGACCGAACUAGGCCCUCGGAAUGUGGGUGACAGUUGUGUGACUUGGACAAUUUAUGGGGCCACUGGCAGUGGCACCAGGAUUUAUCCUUCGUGCAUGAACUGGCUUUUUGGAGCCCAUUCCCCGUGGAGGGAUGCCUUGCUCAGCCUUGAUGCAGCAGAGAGGGGCUUGGUCCUGCCUCACCUUGAUAUGGUGGACUUCCUUGACUCCCCGUGGGAGGCCUUACCCUCCCUGAGGACUGGAUAGGAGGCUGGGUGGAGGAGGAAAGAUGGA